CAUGCGCAUUAUUUCGCGCAUUUGGGAGGAGCACUUAGCCUACCAUCUGUAGUAAGCAAACCGCAGAUAGGAGGGCGAAUACAAUAGGUGAACGGAUAGCCUCCCCAGAGUCCCACUUUGUUCCUGCCAGUAGAUCUAUCUUUCAAUCAUUUCAAAAAGUCUCAAUUUCGGUAGCCCAUUUCUGGGAGAGUGGAUGAACCGGCGCACAGAUGGUGGCAUUUGUGGUAAUAAGCAAGGAGAAGGUUUUGAAACCGUUAGUCCUGGACCUAUCUAUGACAAACCAUUAGGUAAGCAAAAGGCACAGAAAUAAGGUUGAGGACGUAGGCUAGACUAUAUUGUUUAUUUGGACAAUAGGCUGUUUUUUUGUCAAGUCAUGAGCAAUUUUAAGGACAUAAAGUCGACCUCCUGUCAACUGAGCUCGGAUAAUAAUUCCGUGAGCAACAAUGACUGGGAUAUGGCCAAUGAUGUGUUUGUGACCUGCUACGAGGACCCGAUGGGAGAGAAUAUACAUGGGGAGAUGGACUCGGUCCAGUCCGGCUUGGAAAUACACCUGCCUCCGCUGCUGCUAGGCGAUCACCGUUUAUCUCAGGACAGCAUGCUAUUGGGCCUAGUGGAGGAAGCUUACUCGGGCUAUCAUCCUCUCCCCGACUCGGGGACAGACUAUUUGGAUAUCACAAACGACCUGAACUACACCGAAAGUGAUGGGAAUGUGACUACAAAGAAACGUAACCGCUCCACCAGUUCCAGGCACCGCGGGGAGGUCGUCACCGAGCUGGGACCAGAGGAAGUGCGAUGGUUCUACAAAGAGGACAAGAGAACAUGGAAGCCAUUUGUUGGACACGACUCUUUGAAAAUUGAAGUAAUUUACCGCAAAUUAUGUGAACUAAAUCCCUGCAAGGUCAAAUGUCGGAGUCCCACCACCGAACAAGAGGAAGCCAGUGAUUCGGCCACGGGUUCCGAACCCCAACUGGAAGAUGUGGCACACGGGGGAGCUGUUCAAGCAGAGACGGCGACAGGGGACGCAGAGGUUGGAGGGGACAGAGAAUGGGAGAAAGAUGAACUCGACCUGGAUUCCAUAAGUGUAAACGUUGAGGCUGUUUGCGUCAGAGGUGGUCUCUACGAAGUGGACGUCAAAGACAAAGAAUGUUACCCCGUCUACUGGAACCAGCAGGACCGUAUUGCCGUGAUGAGGGGUCAGUGGUUCGUCGACGGCACGUGGCUUCCCCUUGAGGAAGACGAGAGUGACCUCAUCGAGCUGGAGCACCUUGCUCGUUUCAGGGGGCACCAGACGAGGGAGACCUACGAGGCCACCAUUGAAGUGGUGACCACCACAGUGGACAACAAGGAUGGUAAAGUGGAUGGACUCAAUGCAAUCCACAGUUUGAAACUGAGCCGAAGCCAUGUGGACUGGCACAGUGUGGACGAGGUGUAUCUCUACAGUGAUGCCACCACCUCCAAGAUCGCACGCACUGUCACCCAGAGACUGGGCUUCUCCAAAGCUGGCAGUAGUGGGACGCGUCUCCAUCGGGGCUAUGUGGAAGAGGCAGCGCCCGAGGACACCCCGCCCGAAACAACACACAUCGUCUUUGUGGUGCACGGGAUUGGCCAGAAGAUGGACCAGGGCCGCAUCAUCAGGAACACAAGCAUGAUGAGGGAGGCUGCUAGAAAGAUGGAGGAGAAGCAUUUCUCAGAUCGUUCCACAGGACACGUGGAGUUCCUUCCUGUGGAGUGGAGGUCCAAACUGUGCCUGGAUGGAGACACAGUGGACUCCAUCACUCCAGACAAGGUUCGUGGACUCAGGGAUAUGCUCAACAGCAGUGCCAUGGACAUCAUGUACUACACCAGCCCUCUGUACAGAGACGAGAUCACUAAGGGUUUAACUCAGGAGCUGAAUCGUCUCUACAGCCUCUUCUGCAUGCGGAACCCUGAGUUUGGGGAGAGUGGCAAGGUGUCCAUCGUGUCCCACUCCCUGGGUUGUGUCAUAACCUUCGACAUCAUGACAGGCUGGGAUCCGGUACGCUUCCAUCAUGAAGAACUAUGGGCCGACCCCGAGGAGAUGCAAGAGCGCUGGCCAAGCUGUCAGGGGCGUCAACUACAAGAGGAGAUGAGACUCACACGACUCAGGUUACGAGAUUUGGAAAAUCAGUUUGCUGGGUUGCAAUCCCCGUCAUCUGAAGGUUCUUCUUCAGCCUUGAAAUUUAAGGUGGAGAACUUUUUCUGCAUGGGUUCUCCCCUUGCCGUGUUCUUGGCGUUACGAGGGAUCCGACCGGGGAACAACGUGACUCAGGAUCACAUCUUACCCAAAUCCAUCUGCCAACGUCUCUUCAACGUCUUUCAUCCUACCGACCCUGUGGCUUACCGAUUGGAGCCGCUGAUCUUAAAGAACUACAGUAACAUUUCACCUGUCCAAAUACACUGGUAUAACACAUGUAGUCCGACACCGUACGACCAGAUCCGUCCCACGCUGCUCAACCCUGCACUGAAGGAGAGAGCAUCCAUCUCGGACACGGAGAGCCUCCCCAGCCCCUGUACCUCCCCCCCUCAGACCCGAAGACACUACGGAGAGUCCAUCACAAAUCUGGGGAAAGCCAGCAUUAUGGGUGAGAGAGGGGGCUGGAGAGAGAGGGGGGAGGAAGGGAGAGACAUGAGGACUUUCUGUGACAGGUGCGGCCAGUCUCGGGAAAGGCAUUGGCGGGAUCUUCUUCUCCCGCUUCUCACGCUCAAGUGGUCAGGUGGGCAACGUGGAGGAGGAGCCUUCCGAUUCAGAGGGCGGGGUCUUGGAGGUGGAUAAUGCCAUAUCAGGAGAGGAGGGUGUGGCUACGGAGUUAGAGAAGUUACCUGUAGUAGAGGAGACAAGGGAAAUAGAGUCCUCCAUAUCUCGGUCCACCUCGGCUAUCCUGGACAACACCACAUUGGAGUUGGAGAGGCGCAUUGACUUUGAGCUGCGAGAAGGCAUGGUGGAGAGCCGCUAUUGGUCGGCGGUGACCUCGCACACAGCCUAUUGGUGUUCACACGACGUGGCACUGUUUCUUCUCACCUUCAUGUAUAGACAGGGGUAUCCCACUCAGCUCUCUGAGGAUAACCCAGAGUUAUCCUAACCCACAGCCAAAACACACACACACACACACAGAGAGAGAGAGAGACACACACACACACACACACACACAGAGACAUAGACACACACACACACACACACAGAGAGAGAGAGACACACACACACACACACAGAGACACGCACACACACAGAGGGAGACACACACACUAUUUUUCCCUUUCCCUCAACACAUGUAAUAGUAUCCCAGUGUACACACAAAGAUUUGCGACCAGACCGAUUAGACAUAACUGUGUAUCAGAGACCACUUCACAGCCUGUGGCCAGCCUGUGGUCAUCCCGUCAAUGACCGUACCCUUUACCCUAUGGUCCUAAUAGUGACUGUUCCUCAUAUACCCACCCUGUGGGUUUAUUGAAGACUUUACCCCCCAGGCACGCACCAACCUCAGCGAAGACUGUUCCUCUUUCCUGUGACUAAAUGAUGCCUCUAGGACCAAGCAUCUGUCAGUGUUCAUUAUCUUGGACUUGGCAUUGACUGUGUUGGUGUCGGACACAGCUUUGAGUGGGUUUGUGUGACUCCUGAAACUGUAGCCAUGCCUCUAGCCCAACCUCUCCUCUCACAACUCCCAGCAUCAACACUCAUUUAGAUGUUUAGCCUGUUGAGAGCGUUACAUCCAAAUCCAUCCCUCAGAACAUUGAAACCCAUUU